CUCCCAGUAGCUAAACAGGUUAUAGCCCGCUGCUUAUAACGGCAAGGCCCUCACAAGGUAUAUGGCGGUUCGAUUCCACCCUGGGAGACCA
rnacentral:tRNA from 1 species